AUGGGCAUGUUGGAAACUAGGGCCACAUGGUUGGCCAUAGCUAUUUUUUUCAUAACUGUUGUAGCCACCAAGAUUUCAAGACGGAAAAGCAAUGUCCACCCGUCGUCCACACCACUUCCUCCUGUCGUGAAUGUCCUCACUCUCUUACCUUCGUUUUUUAACAAUGGUUUUUGGGUUACAAUCAAUGAUCUGUAUACAAGGUUCGGCGCUGUAUUUACAGUAAAUUUGCUUGGACCAAAGAUAACCUUGUUGGUUGGACCGGAGGUCUCAACUCAUUUCUUCCAAGGGCUGGAGUCAGAGAUUAGCUUUGGUAAUUUCGCCGAGGUCACCAUUCCACUAUUUGGCCAGGAAGUUCUUUAUGGUGUAGAUCCCGCAACUCGCAACGAGCAAGUAAAUUUCAUUGUUGAUGUACUAGAGCCAUCCAAGAUGCGAAGCCUCGUUGAUCCCAUAUUUCAUGAAGUAGAGACCUUCUUUGCAAAGUGGGGACAAGAUGGCACAGUUGAUCUUAAACAUGAACUCGAGCAUGUUCUCAUGUUUAUAUCAUGUCGGUGCCUACUUGGAUAUGAGAUUCAAGAGACGAUGUUGGAAGAAGUAUACUCAUUGUUCCAUGAACUUGAGAAUGGCUUAAACUAUUUCAGUUACUUGUUUCCAUAUAUGCCAACCCCGACAAACUGCCGACGUGACAAGGCACACAUCAGGCUGAAAGAAAUAUUCAGUACAACCAUUAGGUCACGCAGAAGCUCCGGCCGAGUCGAAGAUGAUGUAAUGCAGAGGCUGAUGAAUUCCAAGUAUAAAGAUGGCCGCUCCACAACAGAAGCAGAAAUUUCAGGCAUAAUCAUGGCCCUCAUCUUUGCUGGAAAACACCCAAGCUCUAGCUCUAGUAUAUGGGCGGGAGCUUUCAUGCUGAGCAACACCAAGUUCUUAAUGGCUGCUGUGGAGGAGCAAAAACAUAUCAUUAGCAAGUAUGAUAAUCAAGUAAGCUACACUGCCUUAUUAGAGAUGGAUACCCUGCAUAGUUGCAUCAAGGAGGCAAUUAGGAUGCGUACUCCAUCGCAAAUGUUAACUCGCAAGGCACAUAAGAAAUUCAAGGUGCAUACCCAAGAAGGAAAGGAAUAUCACAUACCUGCAGGGCAUAACAUCGUAAUCCCUACGGCACUCAACAAUAAGCUGGCACAUGUUUACAGUGACCCUCAUGUGUAUGAUCCUGAUCGGUUUGGUUCUGCAAGACACGAGGACAAAGUUGGUGGCAAGUUCUCUUUCACGACAUUUGGUGGUGGAAGGCAUAUGUGCCCUGGCAUGUCCUUUGCUUACCUUCAAAUGAAACUGAUAUGGAGCCAUCUGCUAAGAAACUUUGAUCUCAAACUAAUAUCUCCUUUCCCAGAUGCAGACUUGAGCAUGCUGGGCCAAGAGCCUAAAGGAAAACUAAUGGUAAGUUAUAAGAGACGUCGGUUGCCGUGCAGCUAG
rnacentral:rRNA from 1 species